AGAGUUUGAUCCUGGCUCAGAACGAACGUUGGCGGCGUGGAUUAGGCAUGCAAGUCGAACGAGAACCCAGGGGCUUGCUCUUGGGGGAAAGUGGCGAAAGGGGCAGUAAGGCGUGGGUAACCUACCCUGGGGACCGGGACAUUCCUGUAAUAGGGGUAAAUACCGGGCGAUGUCGCCGAGGCGCAUGUUUUGGCGAUGAG
rnacentral:rRNA from 1 species